rnacentral:rRNA from 1 species
CGCGUAGGCGGUUUUGUAAGUCAGACGUGAAAUCCCCCGGCUUAACUUGGGAACUGCGUCUGAUACUGCAAAACUUGAGUGCGGGAGAGGGAUGUGGAAUUCCAGGUGUAGCGGUGAAAUGCGUAGAUAUCUGGAGGAACACCGGUGGCGAAGGCGGCAUCCUGGACCGACACUGACGCUGAGGCGCGAAAGCUAGGGGAGGCAAACG